GGGGCCGAUCCGGAUUCGACGUGGGUCGCGAAACAGUGCAGGGCAUGCCGAGCCCCAGUUCGCUCGUAAAUCCACUGGAAACACUAUAAACGCCAACGACGAGCGUUUCGCUCUGGCCGCUUAAGCGGUAGAGCCGCUGCACUGAUUUGUCUUUGGGUCAGGUAGAGAAAUCUACAGCAGCGUCAUUUACAAAGAAUCGGCGGUUGGCGGGUCACUCGUCAACUUCUUAAAUCCAAGUGAAUCGCCAAGGUCCGGCCUGUCGUUUGGCAAAGUCCAAGGUUAAAUUCAAAAUGAAACGACUACGCAUGUAGAACUGCCUGCAGAGGGCUCGCGGACGGGGGUUCAAUUCCCCCCGGCUCCACCA
rnacentral:tmRNA from 1 species